rnacentral:rRNA from 1 species
GAUGAACGCUGGCGGCGUGCAUAACACAUGCAAGUCGAACGAUGAAACUUAACUUAUUUCUUCGGAAUGAUUUUAAGUGGAUUAGUGGCGGACGGGUGAGUAACGCGUUAGUAACCUGCCUUGGAGAAGGGGAUAGCCUUUGGAAACGAAGAAUAAUACCCUAUGAUAUGAUAAUAUCUCAUGAUAUUAUCAUCAAAGAUUUAUCGCUCUAAGAUGGACUUGCGUCUGAUUAGUUAGUUGGUGAGGUAACAGCUCACCAAGGCAGCGAUCAGUAGCCGGAGUGGGAGCGGGUACAGCGGCACUGGGACAGGGACCAGGCCCCGACUGCUGCCAGCGGCAGCAGUGGGGAAUUUUGAACAAUGGGGGAGACACUGAUGCAGCGACGCCGGGAGAUUUAGAAGGCCUUCGGGUUGUAAUAAUCUCUUGUAUGGGAAGAGAAUGACGGUACCAUACGAAUAAGGACCGGCUAAUUACGUG